rnacentral:rRNA from 1 species
CCCACAGGCCGUAAACCCAAGGUUUCCAGGGGAAGGUUCGUCCGCCCUGGGUUAGUCGGGACCUAAGCUGAGGCCGAAAGGCGUAGGUGAUGGACAACAGGUUGAUAUUCCUGUACUACCGAUAACCGUUUGAGAGAAGGGAUGACACAGUAGGAUAAGCUAAGCACACUGUUGGUUAUGUGUGCCCAAGCAUUGAGGCAGUCAAAGUAGGUAAAUCCGCUUUGAUAAUGCUGGGAUGUGAUGGGGAGCGAAAUUUAGUAGCGAAGUAGCUGAUUUCACACUGUCAAGAAAAGUCUCUAUCGAGGGUAAAGGUACCCGUACCGCAAACCGACACAGGUGGGUGAGGAGAGUAUCCUAAGGCCAGCGAGAGAACUGUUGUUAAGGAACUCGGCAAAAUGACCCUGUAACUUAGGGAUAAGGGGUGCCACCAUCAGGUGGCCGCAGAGAAUAGGCCCAAGCGACUGUUUACCAAAAACAUAGGUUUCUGCUAAGUCGCAAGACGAUGUAUAGGAGCUGACGCCUGCCCGGUGC